GGGGAAAAAGGAAAAAGCUUUGAAAAGUUGAGGAAGAACCAUGGCCAAAUAAUAACAAUGGGAAAGAGCAAAAAAGAAACAAGAAAAUCAUAAAAAAAUUAAAAAAAAAAAUAAGGGAAAAACAUGAAACUUGUGAGAUUUGCUGAAUAAAUUGAAUUUCGUACGUUGGCACACAGAAUUUGAAUAGUUCUUCAGAACGCGAUCACCGGC
rnacentral:lncRNA from 1 species